AAAGGAGAAAAAAAUAGUUUGGACUGAGUCCAGGCUACACUUUUUAAUCAAGUCCGCCUCUGACUCAGCACCGGUGUGAGGCAAUCACGCUUCUUCUGAGCUCCUGGGAGGUUUUUAUCUGGACCAUCUGGCAAGCAAUCACGGCGCACCCUGUGAUCUCCUCCUUUGUCUUCUUUGCACUGGGUCCUGCCAUGCCAUUUUUCACAGGUUUGUGCCCGGCCUCUUCGCUGAGUUCCCACAGAGUCCAGCACAUUGUGAGCACUCAGUACAUAGGUCCCGGGGGUUGGUUUUGCUCCAAGCAACCCUACCAAACACUGGAUGGGAAGGACUUUGAACAGCCCAAGGACUACCGGCAGAUGAAUAUAUUGAAAGGUGAUGAGUACAAAGGAACUUGACCGCCAACCACUCGGCAUAGUGAAAGGAUGAGCACCGCCCACCUCGGCCUGCACCCCAAACAGCAGAAGGAGAUCAGAAAGCUGGGGGCUCCCUUGCCGUCUGGCGGCGGCCGUCCGGUGAGCCGCGAUGGGCACCUGCGCGUAC